AGCGAACGCUGGCGGCAGGCCUAACACAUGCAAGUCGAACGAACCUUUCGGGGUUAGUGGCGGACGGGUGAGUAACACGUGGGAACGUGCCUUUAGGUUCGGAAUAACUCAGGGAAACUUGUGCUAAUACCGAAUGUGCCCUUCGGGGGAAAGAUUUAUCGCCUUUAGAGCGGCCCGCGUCUGAUUAGCUAGUUGGUUGAGGUAAUGGCUCACCAAGGCGACGAUCAGUAGCUGGGCUGAGAGGAUGAUCAGCCACAUUGGGACUGAGACACGGCCCAAACUCCUACGGGAGGGAGCAGUGGGGAAUCUUGCGCAAUGGGCGAAAGCCUGACGCAGCCAUGCCGGGUGAAUGAUGAAGGUCUUAGGAUUGUAAAAUUCUUUCACCGGGGACGAUAAUGACGGUACCCGGAGAAGAAGCCCCGGCUAACUUCGUG
rnacentral:rRNA from 1 species